rnacentral:rRNA from 1 species
UACUUAGUGGCGGACGGGUGAGUAACGCGUGGGUAACCUGCCUUACACAGGGGGAUAACACCUGGAAACAGGUGCUAAUACCGCAUAAGCGCACAGGGCCGCAUGGCCCGGUGUGAAAAACUCCGGUGGUGUAAGAUGGACCCGCGUCUGAUUAGCUUGUUGGCGGGGUAGGGGCCCACCAAGGCGACGAUCAGUAGCCGGCCUGAGAGGGCGACCGGCCACAUUGGGACUGAGACACGGCCCAGACUCCUACGGGAGGCAGCAG